CGGCGCUCGCACACCGAGAGCUUCAGAGAUCAAAAUUUUCGACCUCACUACUCACCAUAUAAAUACAGUGAGACUGUAUAUUAUAGAGAUUAAUCUAAUAAUCUCGCCUUCACCUUCACCUUCCUUGGUGAAUACUCACAUCAUCUCUCUGCAAUUCCUCUCGUUGAAAAAUGGCUCAGCCUCUCCUGAAGAAAGACGACGAUCGCGAUGACGAAGCGGAGUACUCUCCGUUUAUGGGGAUUGAGAAGGGGGCUGUGCUUCAGGAAGCUAGGGUUUUCAAUGAUCCGCAAUUGGAUGCACGCAGAUGCUCACAGGUCAUUACAAAGCUUCUGUAUCUUCUGAAUCAGGGUGAGACGUUUACAAAGGUUGAAGCUACAGAAGUGUUCUUUGCUGUCACAAAACUCUUUCAGUCAAAGGAUCUUGGUCUAAGGAGAAUGGUAUACUUGAUGAUAAAAGAGCUUUCUCCCUCAGCUGAUGAGGUAAUCAUCGUUACUAGCUCUCUUAUGAAGGACAUGAAUAGCAGUACAGAUAUGUAUCGUGCAAAUGCUAUUCGAGUCCUCUGCCGAAUCACAGAUGGGACUCUUCUCACACAAAUUGAGAGAUACUUGAAACAAGCGAUUGUUGACAAAAACCCUGUUGUUGCAAGUGCUGCCCUUGUUAGUGGAAUCCAUUUGCUUCAGACAAACCCGGAGAUUGUGAAAAGAUGGAGCAAUGAGGUCCAAGAAGCUGUUCAGUCAAGGGCAGCUCUCGUUCAAUUCCAUGCACUGGCGCUGCUGCACCAGAUAAGGCAAAAUGACCGUUUAGCUGUGAGCAAGCUUGUUACCAGUUUGACAAGAGGAACUGUUCGCUCACCUCUAGCUCAAUGCCUCUUGAUUCGUUAUACUAGUCAGGUUAUAAGAGAGGCUGCCAUGAGUAAUCAAACAGGGGAUAGGCCAUUCUAUGACUAUCUAGAGGGUUGCCUACGUCACAAAGCAGAAAUGGUUAUUUUUGAAGCUGCCAGGGCAAUCACAGAGCUUAGUGGUGUGACUAGUCGAGAAUUAACUCCUGCAAUCACUGUUCUACAGCUCUUUUUAAGCUCUUCCAAGCCAGUUCUUAGGUUUGCUGCUGUUCGAACCUUGAAUAAGGUGGCAAUGACACAUCCUAUGGCUGUGACAAACUGCAACAUAGAUAUGGAGAGCUUGAUUUCUGAUCAGAAUAGGAGCAUAGCAACUCUUGCCAUAACGACUCUUCUUAAGACCGGCAAUGAAUCAAGUGUUGAUCGUUUGAUGAAGCAGAUAACUAAUUUUAUGUCCGACAUUGGUGAUGAGUUCAAGAUUGUUGUGGUGGAAGCCAUUAGAUCAUUGUGUUUGAAGUUUCCCCUGAAGUACAGAUCUUUGUGAGUAAUCAUGGACUUUUAAGGAAGUGCAUAUAAAUACUCCUACAUGAACUUUUUUGGUUCCAUAGAUCCGCCAAGAAAAGCCUCCAAAACAAAUAUAAUACUUUUUUUGUUUAACUUCUGGAAUUGAAUAUAAUCUAUUUAUUUAUCUCCUUUUAUGUAUCUAUAGAUACUACAUUUUCUUGGAAAUGAAGGACCUAAGACAUCAGACCCCAGUAAGUACAUACGAUAUAUAUACAAUAGAGUUAUACUUGAGAAUGCAACAGUUCGGGCCAGUGCAGUGAGCACCUUAGCUAAGUUUGGUGCCUUGGUUGAUUCAUUGAAGCCCCGUAUAUUUGUGCUAUUGAAACGUUGCCUAUUCGACGGUGAUGAUGAGGUUCGCGAUAGGGCAACACUGUAUUUGAAUACCCUUGGAGGUGAUGGUGCAGUUGUUGAAACUGAUGAUGAGGUGAAAGAGUUCCUAUUCGGGUCACUCGGUGUCCCUCUAACCAAUCUGGAGACAAGUUUAAAGAACUAUGAGCCAUCAGAGGAGGCGUUUGAUAUUUUUUCUGUUCCCAAGGAAGUUAAAUCUCAGCCUUUGGCAGAGAAGAAAGCACCGGGUAAAAAGCCAACUGGUUUGGGUGCUCCACCUGUCGGCCCCACCUCUACUGUUGAUUCAUAUGAAAGAUUACUGUCCUCUAUCCCAGAAUUCGCUAGCUAUGGGAAGCUUUUCAAGUCAUCGGCGCCAGUGGAGCUCACAGAAGCUGAAACAGAGUAUGCAGUUAAUGUCGUGAAGCACAUUUUUGAUAGUCAUGUAGUGUUCCAGUACAACUGCACCAAUACCAUUCCUGAGCAAUUGUUGGAAAAUGUCUCUGUUAUUGUGGAUCCGUCUGAAGCUGAGGAAUUUUCUGAAAUAGCAUCCAAACCUCUCAAGUCUCUUCCAUAUGAUACUCCAGGGCAGACAUUUGUGGCUUUUGAGAAACCUGAAGGAGUCCCUGCUGUUGGGAAAUUCUCGAACACACUAAGAUUCAUUGUUAAAGAGGUUGAUCCAACCACUGGUGAGGCUGAAGAUGAUGGUGUUGAAGAUGAAUACCAACUAGAAGACCUUGAGGUUGUCACUGCAGAUUACAUGCUGAAAUUGGGAGUCUCCAAUUUUAGGAAUGCAUGGGAGAGCUUGGGACCAGAUUGUGAACGCGUAGAUGAAUAUGGUCUUGGCCCAAGGGAAAGCCUGACUGAAGCAGUAAAUGCAGUCAUUAACCUUCUUGGCAUGCAACCUUGCGAGGGCACUGAGGUAGUCCCAAGCAACUCAAGAUCGCACACAUGUUUAUUAUCUGGUGUAUACAUUGGCAGCGUAAAGGUACUUGUUCGGUUAUCAUUUGGAUUGGAUGGGGCAAAGGAGGUUGCAAUGAAGCUGGCUGUUAGGUCAGAAGAUAUAUCUGUAAGUGAUGCAAUUCAUGAAGUUGUUGCAAGCGGCUAGGUUUCUUUACAUCGACCGAGAGAUACUAGUUGUUAAGUAGUCCUCAGGUGAUUCUGUGGUGGGAUUUUGACAAAGUCAAAAGUCAAUAGGCUCUGUGAGAACUGCGAGAUACUCUUUGACGAGUUAUGGGAAUUCAUUCAUUUAUAUGACUAGUAGUCUAUUUUGGAAACAGGAGUUGAUUAUUGUAGUUUAUCCAACUCUACUAUGCUAAAGUGAUUUCUAGAGCAGUUUUCCCAAGCCUGAAACUUAGCAUUCA